UCUUGUACUAAAGAAAUCUAAUGUAGAUUUGUUAGCCUUAUAGGGUACUAUAUGGUGAACACAUGAUAUUAAAUAUACAGUAAAUUGCACUGUGAAGUGAGUAUGUAUAUACUAUCCACACAGGAUUGCCAUUUUGGAGAUGUUGCUGGGAUCAUCAUGGAUUGGGAUGCAUUCUGAUAAUAAGAUAUUAGGUAUUGAUAUGUGAUAUGUAUGUCACACUUGACUUCAUCAUCCUUUGUUUUUAGAUGUAUUCUUUAGGCAUACAUUAAUGUGGUAGCUUGGUCAUAUUCUGUAGCUAAUUUAGUCACCAAAUACUCGGAUUUUUUCCCGACUCCCAUUAUAAAGAACUUCCACUUGCCAUCUCUAUAUGGAUUUUCUUUUUGCUACCGAUUUUGGCUAAAGGUUUUUCGGCUCUCAUCUCUAUAUGGAUAUGCUUUUUUCAGGUUAGUAGUUUAGGAGUUCCUGCCAACACUAGUUUUUGGAAGUUAUACUCCCUUCACCAGUUGGGCUUAACAAGGACAUAAUUAAUUCGCUGUUGGUAAUUAGAAGGGAAAAAAAUCUGGUUGGAGAAAACUUCUCUUUUUCUUAAUUGUUUGCUUCAUAAUUUUAGUAAUCUUUUUUUCAUUUUUUUUCAGGUUAGUAGUAUGGGAGUACCUGUCAAGACUGACUUUUGGAAGUUAUGCUAGCCUCAUCAGUUGGGCUUUCUAUACAAAACUAGACUCAAUAUAAUUUAUUUUGGUGCUUGCGAUGAGUAUUAGACAGAGGGGUGAUGACCACAUAGUUCACACAGUGUAUCUGUUCAUGUAUGUCAUUAAUUAUCUAAUUAGACAAAACAACUCUCUCUGUAUGGUGUUUGUGAUGAUGCUGUCAAUUCACUAAACACUAAAAUACCAGGUUGUGAUUUUCAAAUCUAGCAAAUUAAUUUUCUCUAUUGCUUCUUUUCCAGGCAGAAGUUUUAGUCUAUUCUGUUCCAUGAGUCUUACUGUCAAAAAAAAAUAUGGUAGCAUCAGAAGUUGUCCCCAUCAGAUAGAACACUGCCUAAUAGAUUCAUUCUAUUACUGUAUAGCCAUGGUGACAAAAAUAUUCAGAUAACAAGAAACAAUUCUGUCAAAUAUUCUCAGCGGAGAUACUGUUGCGGUCUAUAAGUAAAAAAAUGUUAAUUAUUUAAUUAAACAGAAAACUAUGUUAUUUAUACCAACAGAUGCUAAACAAUCAGACUACCUGACACAAAAGUAUAUAUAUACAUUAGUUAAAUUUCAUUCCAAAAAUAGAUGAUGUAGUGGUAGAUGUUAAUCGUACAAGAACACGAGGAUGACAAACAUAAAUUAAUCACAUAUAUUAUCAUCACAGGUCGAUCUAACUGGUGGUAGUUAUUCUUUGCACUGAAAACAAAGUGGAAUCAAACGAUUCAAACAACCAAAAAGAAGGAAACAAAGGAUGCUUACGGAUCUGAAUGAGUUAGGGCGCUCCACUACUUGCAAGUAGAUCCAGCGACUCAGUGGCAGAGCUACUCUCGGCGACGCCAGGAAGCCACCCUGGUUCUACCCGAAAGUCAUCACUGAAAUUACAACAAGAAAUAUGAAGUAAUUAGUAUUUUUUCCAUGGACAUAUGACCGCCGGCCAGUUGCCUUUGUGCUCAUGCCGGUGUUGUACCAAUGAAUUGACUCCAUCACUGUAGCGACCUGGAAGAACAUCAACUGUUUGUGGAGUUGGGAAUUUCUUCUCCGAGGAGAGAAAUGUUUAGUACGUCUCCAAAUCACUCCACUGUCCUGCCGGACAAAGAUGAGUUUAAUAUGGCCCGUCGACACAGAGAAGGCCUGCUAUCACAUACCGCUUAUUGGGCUGUAACAUUAGUCUCAUUCCAACGCCACAUAUCCAACAAAGAAGCUUAUACCAAAGAGAGAGCUACAAAUUGGAUGAUUGAUCCCUAUGAAAUUGAUGUUACACAUAUUUUAUUUCAAAAAGGGGAUUACCCGGGCCUCUGCAUCAAAUGAUGCACACAUUCAUAUUAUUAAACAUAAAUCAAGUUCCAAACACGGAGUUCCAGACUUAUUUCAUCAAGUAGUUUUCUUGUAUUUGAACUCAAUUCCUUCAAUUUCUCUCAGCCGUGAGCUUAUAUCAGCGGUGAGCUCAUCUACAUUCUGCGUUGUGAACUCAUUUAGUUUUAUCUAUGAACUCAUUAGGUGAACUCAUCACGGUUUUUUGGCAGAUGUGAACUUAUUUCAUAUUCAUCUAUGAAUCAUUGUUGAAGUGUCU
rnacentral:lncRNA from 1 species